UACUUAGGGGGCUAGCGGUGUCCGGAAUCAUGGGGCGUAAAGCGCGUGUAGGCGGCCCGGUAAGUCCGCUGUGAAAGUCGGGGGCUCAACCCUCGGAUGCCGGUGGAUACUGUCGGGCUUGAGUGCGGAAGAGGCGAGUGGAAUUCCUGGUGUAGCGGUGAAAUGCGCAGAUAUCAGGAGGAACACCGAUUGCGAAGGCAGCUCGCUGGGACGUGACUGACGCUGAGACGCGAAAGCGUGGGGAGCAAACAGG
rnacentral:rRNA from 1 species